rnacentral:rRNA from 1 species
AUUGAACGCUGGCGGCAGGCCUAACACAUGCAAGUCGAACGGUAACAGGAAACAGCUUGCUGUUUCGCUGACGAGUGGCGGACGGGUGAGUAAUGUCUGGGAAACUGCCUGAUGGAGGGGGAUAACUACUGGAAACGGUAGCUAAUACCGCAUAACGUCGCAAGACCAAAGAGGGGGACCUUCGGGCCUCUUGCCAUCGGAUGUGCCCAGAUGGGAUUAGCUAGUAGGUGGGGUAACGGCUCACCUAGGCGACGAUCCCUAGCUGGUCUGAGAGGAUGACCAGCCACACUGGAACUGAGACACGGUCCAGUGUGGCUGGUCAUCCUCU